AUUAGCAGUCGCGGUGUGCCGCUACGUGCGGGCUCUCAAGGAGCUCAGCCUCCCGGACGGAGCCGGCGGCUGCGGGGCGAGGACGGCGGCGGACCGGGGCAGCCCCGCGCCCUGGCCAGGUGGAGGGAGCUGUUCAUCCUCUGGGGGCUGCUGGGCAAGAAACAUUUCUUACCUGAUAAUGUGAAGCGUCAGAGGUCCCUGUUUUAUGGCUCUACUGAGAUGAAGAAAGAAAAAGAAUACCUGCUCAGCUCCAGAGACACGUAAAGGGACAGAGAUUGGGGGACAGAAGGAAGUGCAUUAAUUCCUUCCACGACCCCUGAAGAGCAGCGGUGGGUCUGAGCAUCCUAUCUCCAGGAAGCAGGCCAGCAGGCAAGCCAGCUGCCACCUCGUCCUGUGCAAAGCACAGGCACCGUCCCCAAAAGAUUUCCAAAGAUGAUGUUAAACCCAGCCACGGUUCUGAUCUCCAGGAAAGCAAUUGCUGUGGUACAAAAGGACAAGGGUUAAAAGAGAACAGUGGGAGCUCUCUUUCCCAACUAACUC
rnacentral:lncRNA from 1 species